rnacentral:rRNA from 1 species
UACGUAGGGGGCAAGCGUUGUCCGGAUUUAUUGGGCGUAAAGAGCGUGUAGGCGGUUAGGUAGGUCCGUUGUGAAAACUCGAGGCUCAACCUCGAGACGCCGAUGGAAACCAUCUGUCUAGAGUCCGGAAGAGGAGAGUGGAAUUCCUGGUGUAGCGGUGAAAUGCGCAGAUAUCAGGAAGAACACCCGUGGCUAAGGCGGCUCUCUAGUACGGUACUGACGCUGAGACGCGAAAGCGUGGGGAGCGAACAGG